UGGGAGCAGAGGAUGAAUUUAAAGUUAAAUGGGUAAUUUGCGACUGAUAUUUCGUUGAUGCUAAACUCUUCUAUCAGAACUGAUGCCCCUC